AAAAACACAGAUUGUCCAGCCACCGUGAGUGUGAUCGUGAAGCAAACAAAUACUAAGCGAAAGAGCAGAUCAACUGAUACCCAUGCAACUGCCCUCCCUAUGGAGGUGAGACUGAACUUCACUCACAAUCAUCCAGUCCAGAGUGCCAGUGCACUGAAACACAGAGAUGUUAGUGACGAGGUAAAGGAGAUUUUCAUCAACCUCUACAAGUCUCUGCAUUCACCAUCAACUGCACUUCAUACAUACAAGUAUGAUCUGUUUGAAGAAUAUGGAGACGAAUUUGCACACAUCUCAGCAGACAGAGCUAAAUGUCCAGACUUGCAGUGGUGCUACAGUCAAGGUGUGUGGGGGGUUUCAUCUGGCAACUUAUAGCGCUUGCGCUCGUCCCACUCUGCCUUCUCCAUUAUGUUAUAUAAUAAUAAUAAUAAUAAUAAUAAUAAUAAUAAUA